rnacentral:rRNA from 1 species
AGACCCCUUGAAGACGACAAGGUGGAUAGGUUAGAGGUGGAAGUGUGGUAACACAUGUAGCUGACUAAUACUAAUAGGUCGAGGGCUUGACCUA